rnacentral:rRNA from 1 species
CCUACGGGUGACAGCAGUGAGGAAUAUUGGUCAAUGGGCGCGACCCUGAACCAGCCAAGUAGCGUGAAGGAUGAAUGCCCUACGGGUUGUAAACUUCUUUUAUAAAGGAAUAAAGUGAGGCACGUGUGCCUUUUUGUAUGUACUUUAUGAAUAAGGAUUGGCUAACUCCGUGCCAGCAGCCGCGGUAAUACGGAGGAUCCGAGCGUUAUCCGGAUUUAGUGGGUUGAAAGGGAGCGUAGAUGGGUUGUUAAGUCAGUUGUGAAAGGUUGCGGCUCAACCGUAAAAUUGCAAUUGAUACUGGCAGUCUUGAGUACAGUAGAGGUAGGCGGAAUUCGUGGUGUAGCGGUGAAAUGCUUAGAGAUCACGAAGAACUCCGAUUGCGAAGGCAGCUUACUAAACUGCCACUGACAUUGAUGCUCGAAAGUGUGGGUAUCAAACAGGAUUAGAUACCCCAGUAGUC